CACCAAGGCGACGAUCAGUAGCCGACCUGAGAGGGUGAACGGCCACACUGGAACUGAGACACGGUCCAGACUCCUACGGGAGGCAGCAGUGGGGAAUAUUGCACAAUGGGCGCAAGCCUGAUGCAGCAACGCCGCGUGAAUGAUGAAGGCCUUCGGGUCGUAAAGUUCUGUCCAAAGGGAAGAAUACAGUGACGGUACCUUUGGAGGAAGCCCCGGCUAAACUACGUGCCAGCAGCCGCGGUAAUACGUAGGGGGCAAGCGUUAUCCGGAAUCACUGGGCGUAAAGGGAGCGUAAGCGGUUUUGACAAGCCAGGGGUGAAAGGGCAAUAGCUUAAACUAUUUGUAAGCCUUUUGGAACUUGUCGAAACUUUGAGUGCAGGAGAGGAAAGUGGAAUUCCCUAGUGUAGCGGUGAAAUGCGUAGAUAUUAGGAGGAAACACCAGUGGCGAAAGCGACUUUCCUGGACUGUAACUGACGCUGAAGCUCGAAAGCGUGGGGAGCGAACAGGAUUAGAUACCCCUGGGUAGUCCACGCUGUAAACGAUGAAUACUAGGUGUCUGGGUGUCAAAGCUAGGUGCCGCAGCUAACGCAUUAAGUAUUCCGCCUGGGGAGUACGCACGCAAGUGUGAAACUCAAAGGAAUUGACGGGGACCCGCACAAGCAGCGGAGCAUGUGGUUUAAUUCGAAGCACGCG
rnacentral:rRNA from 1 species